rnacentral:rRNA from 1 species
UACGUAGGCAGCAAGCGUUGUUCGGAAUUACUGGGCGUAAAGAGUGUGUAGGCGGCCCGAUAAGUCCGCUGUGAAAGUCCAGGGCUCAACCCUGGGAUGCCGGUGGAUACUGUCGGGCUCGAGUCCGGAAGAGGCGAGUGGAAUUCCUGGUGUAGCGGUGAAAUGCGCAGAUAUCAGGAGGAACACCAAUGGCGAAGGCAGCUCGCUGGGACGUGACUGACGCUGAGACGCGAAGCGUGGGGAGCAAACAGG